rnacentral:rRNA from 1 species
GACAGCAGCAGCCGCGGUAAUACGUAGGUGGCAAGCGUUGUCCGGAAUUAUUGGGCGUAAAGGGCUCGCAGGCGGUUUCUUAAGUCUGAUGUGAAAGCCCCCGGCUCAACCGGGGAGGGUCAUUGGAAACUGGGAAACUUGAGUGCAGAAGAGGAGAGUGGAAUUCCACGUGUAGCGGUGAAAUGCGUAGAGAUGUGGAGGAACACCAGUGGCGAAGGCGACUCUCUGGUCUGUAACUGACGCUGAGGAGCGAAAGCGUGGGGAGCGAACAGGAUUAGAUACCCGGGUAGUCCCUGUCUCUUAUAC